AUUGAACGCUGGCGGCAGGCCUAACACAUGCAAGUCGAGCGGAUGAAGAGAGCUUGCUCUCUGAUUCAGCGGCGGACGGGUGAGUAAUGCCUAGGAAUCUGCCUGGUAGUGGGGGACAACGUUUCGAAAGGAACGCUAAUACCGCAUACGUCCUACGAGAGAAAGUGGGGGAUCUUCGGACCUCACGCUAUCAGAUGAGCCUAGGUACGAUUAGCUAGUUGGUGAGGUAAAGGCUCACCAAGGCGACGAUCGUUAACUGGUCUGAGAGGAUGAUCAGUCACACUGGAACUGAGACACGGUCCAGACUCCUACGGGAGGCAGCAGUGGGGAAUAUUGGACAAUGGGCGAAAGCCUGAUCCAGCCAUGCCGCGUGUGUGAAGAAGGUCUUCGGAUUGUAAAGCACUUUAAGUUGGGAGGAAGGGCAGUAAGUUAAUACCUUGCUGUUUUGACGUUACCGACAGAAUAAGCACCGGCUAACUUCGUGCCAGCAGCCGCGGUAACAC
rnacentral:rRNA from 1 species